CGGUUUAAUCGGACUCAACGCCGGGAAACUCACCAGAUAAGACAGCUGAAUGAUAGUCGGGCUGAAGACUCUACUUGACUAGCUGAGAGGAGGUGCAUGGCCGUUGUCAGCUCGUACUGUGAAGCAUCCUGUUAAGUCAGGCAACGAGCGAGACCCACGCCAACAGUUGCCAGCUCGUCCUCCGGGAUGGUGGGGACACUGUUGGGACCGCUCUGCUAAAGAGGAGGAAGGAAUGGGCAACGGUAGGUCAGCAUGCCCCGAAUUAUCUGGGCUACACGCGGGCUACAAUGGGUGGGACAAUGGGUAUCGACACCGAAAGGUGAAGGCAAUCUCCUAAACCCAUCCGUAGUUCGGAUUGUGGGCUGCAACUCGCCCACAUGAAGCUGGAAUCUGUAGUAAUCGUGUCUCAAAAUGGCACGGUGAAUAUGUCCCUGCUCCUU
rnacentral:rRNA from 1 species